UGAGGAGAAGCUCAAAAGGCAGCAGUUAAGUGAUUGAGGAAUUGGGAUAACUCAACAACACCCAGAUGUCCGAGUCCUGAAUUCAGCUAUUGCCAGAGGCUGCAAUAUUCUUUUGAUGGACUGCAAAUGCCCUGGUCUGUGUGCAGUGUGUUUUUGCCCUUUAGCACAAGUGGUCCACUAUUUCAGCAGUGAUAUGAUAUGGUGACGAUGGAAAUGGAAAUUCCUUUUUCUUUAUAAAUCCCCGACUGUUCUACUGAGAAAGAAGCUGAGCAACUAGACAGAAGCCCAAACGCUUCAAACAAAUGAAACCACAUAAUGGAAAACUCAAGAAGUUGGUCAUGUUUCCUCUUGGUGAGUUUCUGGCUGUGGGACCUAGGCCAGAGAAGAAAUCAAAGCAAAGCUCACAUAGUUAUGUGCAUGGUUUAAGAUGAUCAAUUAUAAGGUCCAAGAUCAAGAUACCAGCAGGAUUCGUUCCUUCCAAGGCCCCUCUCUGCAGAUUGCAAAUGGAUGAAUACAUAAUGAAGACAGGAUACAUUUCCAAGAGAGGAGGAAGGGUAAAGACCAAAAGGAAGAAGAUCUGUGCAAGAUCAUCCAGGGAGUCUGCAUCUGUCAUCAAUUCACAGUACCUAGAGGAUGUGCCCAGCAGAGUGUGUUUGGGGGGACAGGUGUUACAGGGAGAGAAAUGAUAGGAACACUGAGGCUUACAGUGCUCCCCAGAAUGCUCUUGGGCAAGGCUUUCUGCAGAAGCAGAGUCUGAAUGACGACCUAGAGACGUGAAGAGCUUAUUGUUGAUGACCUCUUCUUCGCCUACACCUUUGCACAAGUCGCAUUGAUGUUUCUCUGUUCUCCAUUGCUACAACAAAGACACCCAUGGUGGGUAUCUUAUGGAGGAAAAGAGUUGUUUAGCUCAGUUUUGGAGGAUGUAAAUUAAGAAAUUAGUCACUUUCCCCUCUUAUAGAGCUUUGUGACACAUGACUUCAGGGUAGCAGAGCCAUUGGUGACAAGACUGGAAGCAAGAGAAUGAUGCUAUAGCCAGAGCAUCUCUCUUGGAGCAGCUGAAUCUGCAGACAAAUUCGAGACCUCAUAAGAAAUGCAUUAGACUUUCCCGAAGGCUUACCACCCCCCAUGACUUCAUCACCUCCCACUACCCAUUACCUCUUAAUGUCCCAUCACCUCUUAGGACACCACAAGUGUGUACACAAACACAAACACAAACCAUGGCAGCAGCUAUCUGAAGCAUGCUUCCUCCUGUGUCCCUGAAGCCUUUUCCACUAUCUGAGCUCCAGGGCUGACCUCUCCAUCACUCCAUCACUGUGCUAUAGGUCCGAGGUUCUGCUUUACCUUUCCAUUGCUUUCUGUUAGAAUGUCUCAGCUCCAUGAAUGCAGAUAUUCCAGGAUCUUAAAAUAUGCUUCGUAAAUUCCCAGCCUUCCCACUCCUAAGAGUAGUCUAUGCCCAUUUCUAACUAAAAACUCCCAACUCCAUUCCCAGCAUCCUACUUGGACUCAUAUAAAUUCACACAGGAUCAUUUUUCUCCUUUGCUGCUAGAUCUAAUGGCCACUCUGGGGCACUUCCCUCUGAUUCCCCUCCUUCCAGCUAGCAGGCAGACUCAGUCACUCACAUUGCUGAUAGGAUAAACCCCUCUGCUCUAGGUUGUACUAUGUUUCAUCAAAAGAUAAAUGUUGACUUUUUGGCCACUAGUGUCUAUGAAUAUGACCUUAUUUGGAACAGAGUCUUUGUGAAUGGAAGACCAGUGGGGGUUGGGGGGUGAGGUGUCCUUGACACUAACCCAGAAUGACUAUGUGUCUACACCAGUAAAAGGAAAUUGGAUACAGGCUCACAGGAAGAAUGCCAAGUAAAAAUGGAGAAAAGCAGGAAGGCAGCCAUGUGAAGAGGUAGGGGUGCUGCCCACUCAACAAUCUCUGGAGCCACAAGAAAGAAGCUGAAAAGGGGAAGAGAGGGUCCUCUCUCCCCACCUACUGGCUUUUGAGCAAUACCUCAGCUGAGACUUCCAGGUCCCAACAUGACAAGACAAGAACAUUUUCCUGUUUAAGCUAUCCAGUCUGGGGGUCAUUUCUUGUAGCAAUUCUGGACAUCACUUUUUAAAAUUACAAUAAAAGAUGCUGGCUACUCA